GACGAACCGAGCGAACGUUGUUCGGAAUCACUGGGCUUAAAGGGCGCGUAGGCGGGCUGCCGCGUCCGGGGUGAAAUCCUCCGGCUCAACCGGGGAAGGGCCUCGGGUACGGGCGGCCUCGAGGGGGGUAGGGGCGUGCGGAACUGUGGGUGGAGCGGUGAAAUGCGCAGAUAUCAGGAGGAACACCGGUGGCGAAGGCGGAUCUCUGGGCCAGUACUGACACUGAGGAGCGAAAGCGUGGGUAGCAAACAGG
rnacentral:rRNA from 1 species